rnacentral:lncRNA from 1 species
AUGGGGAAGGACUAUGAAGUUCUUGUUACUUUGGCUGCUGUAUCAGAUUGGUCGAUCUCCGAGCUUGAUCUCCCUCAAGUUUCUGAAGAUUCGGUGGAUCAAGCCGGAGGGUCGUCUGUUCCCGAUGGAGUCGGUUCUAGUUAAUCUUUUCUGUUUCUAUGUCUUUUUUUGUUCAUGAUUUUCGUUUUCCGUGAUUUUUGAUCGCGAAGUUUCGAUUAGUUCUGAUG